rnacentral:misc_RNA from 1 species
GAUGAAGAACGUAGCGAAAUGCGAUAAGUAAUGUGAAUUGCAGAAUUCAGUGAAUCAUCGAAUCUUUGAACGCACAUUGCGCCCUCUGGUAUUCCGGAGGGCAUGCCUGUUCGAGCGUCAUUUCAACCCUCAAGCAUUGCUUGGUGUUGGGGCACCGCCUGUAAAAGGGCGGGCCCUGAAAUCUAGUGGCGAGCUCGCCAGGACCCCGAGCGUAGUAAUUAUAUUUCGUUCUGGAAGGCCCUGGCGGUGCCCUGCCGUUAAACCCCCAACUUCUGAAAAUUUGAUCUCGGAUCAGGUAGGAAUACCCGCUGAACUUAAGCAUAUCAAUAAGCGGAGGA